CCUACGGGUGGCAGCAGUGGGGAAUAUUGGGCAAUGGGCGCAAGCCUGACCCAGCAACGCCGCGUGAAGGAAGAAGGCUUUCGGGUUGUAAACUUCUUUUUACAGGGAAGAGUAGAAGACGGUACCUGUCGAAUCAGCCACGGCUAAAUACGUGCCAGCAGCUGCGGUAAUACGUAGGUGGCAAGCGUUGUCCGGAUUUACUGGGUGUAACGGGCGUGUAGCCGGGUUGACAAGUCAGGUGGGAAAACCUGCGGGUUAAACCCAGAACUGGCUUUGAAACUGUUUAUCUUGAGUACUGGAGAGGCAGGCGGAAUUCCUAGUGUAGCGGUGAAAUGCAUAGAUAUUAGGAGGAACACC
rnacentral:rRNA from 1 species